rnacentral:rRNA from 1 species
UACGAAGGGGGCUAGCGUUGCUCGGAAUUACUGGGCGUAAAGCGCACGUAGGCGGUCUUUUAAGUCGGGGGUGAAAUCCUGGAGCUCAACUCCAGAACUGCCUUCGAUACUGGAAGACUUGAGUCCGGGAGAGGUGAGUGGAACUGCGAGUGUAGAGGUGAAAUUCGUAGAUAUUCGCAAGAACACCAGUGGCGAAGGCGGCUCACUGGCCCGGUACUGACGCUGAGGUGCGAAAGGCGUGGGGAGCAAACAGGGAUUAAGAAACCCCUGUAACG